GUGAGCCCGCACUGCCUCUCAAGCCCCUUGUCUGCCCUUCUCGGGAGCCGGUGAGGUGCUGGAAGGGCCACGUGACCCGAGGGAGCGAGGUGACCGGGAGCACCGUCCGCCUGCGGACCGCAGCCCACGCGGUGACAGAUUGGGGCCCACAUGGGUGACGGAGAUCCCGGACGAAGACAUUUGGACACACGCCGAGUGCCAGCCCUGGAGGAGGUCAGCCAGAGGCCGUGACCGCCCAUGGACCUGAGGGCGGGGCCUGUCCCUGGAAGGUGCGCUCUGCCAGCCCCUCCCACAGUGGGCGCUGUUCCAGGGACGCAGCCUUGUCAGAGGAAGCUGGCCUUGAGACCCUGGACCCAGAAGAGGCCUCCACACAAACUGGGAAGAGUGACAGCCCAGGGCUCUUAAGCAAGAGUGACGCUGACGCCUGCUGGGGAGCCUGGAAGUACCUGACUCCCGGCCUCACC
rnacentral:lncRNA from 1 species